rnacentral:rRNA from 1 species
UACGGAGGGUGCAAGCGUUGUCCGGAUUUAUUGGGUUUAAAGGGUGCGUAGGCGGUUCUUUUAAGUCUGGGGUGAAAGCCCGUUGCUCAACAACGGAACUGCCCUGGAAACUGGAGGACUUGAGUACAGACGAGGGUGGCGGAAUGGAUGCUGUAGCGGUGAAAUGCAUAGAUAGCAUCCAGAACCCCGAUUGCGAAGCAGCUGCCUAGACUGUAACUGACGCUGAGGCACGAAAGCGUGGGGAGCGAACAGG